AACCUUUACAAUGCACGCAAGUGUGAUAAGGGGAUCCUGAGUGCUCAUGUUUUGCAUGGGCUUUUGCCAAGAGUAAACAUCUUGGAGAAUAAGUGGUGGGAAAGACUGGUGCCAGCCGCCGCGGUAACACCAGCGCCACAAGUGGGGAUCAGUUUUAUUGGGUCUAAAGCGUCCGUAGCCGGCUCAGCAAAUUUUCUGUGAAAUCGGCCAUUUAAACUGGUCGGCGUGCAGAAAACACUACUAAGCUUGAGACUGGGAGAGGUAAGAAGUAUGCCGGGGGUAGCGGUAAAAUGUUAUAAUCCCCGGUGGACUACCAAUGGCGAAGGCAUCUUACCAGAACAGAUCUGACGGUGAGGGACGAAAGCUGGGGGAGCGAUCCGG
rnacentral:rRNA from 1 species